rnacentral:rRNA from 1 species
CCUACGGGAGGCAGCAGUGAGGAAUAUUGGUCAAUGGACGAGAGUCUGAACCAGCCAAGUAGCGUGAAGGAUGACUGCCCUAUGGGUUGUAAACUUCUUUUAUAUGGGAAUAAAAUGUUCCACGUGUGGGUUUUUGUAUGUACCAUAUGAAUAAGGAUCGGCUAACUCCGUGCCAGCAGCCGCGGUAAUACGGAGGAUCCGAGCGUUAUCCGGAUUUAUUGGGUUUAAAGGGAGCGUAGGUGGAUUGUUAAGUCAGUUGUGAAAGUUUGCGGCUCAACCGUAAAAUUGCAGUUGAUACUGGCAGUCUUGAGUACAGUAGAGGUGAGCGGAAUUCGUGGUGUAGCGGUGAAAUGCUUAGAUAUCACGAAGAACUCCGAUUGCGAAGGCAGCUCACUGGACUGCCACUGACACUGAGGCUCGAAAGUGUGGGUAUCAAACAGGAUUAGAUACCCUAGUAGUC